rnacentral:rRNA from 1 species
UAACACGUGGGUAACCUGCCCUAAAGUCUGGGAUACCACUUGGAAACAGGUGCUAAUACCGGAUAACAACAAUAGCUGCAUGGCUAUUGCUUAAAAGGCGGCGAAAGCUGUCGCUAAAGGAUGGACCCGCGGUGCAUUAGCUAGUUGGUAAGGUAAUGGCUUACCAAGGCGACGAUGCAUAGCCGAGUUGAGAGACUGAUCGGCCACAUUGGGACUGAGACACGGCCCAAACUCCUACGGGAGGCAGCAG